UACGAAGGGGGCUAGCGUUGCUCGGAAUCACUGGGCGUAAAGCGCACGUAGGCGGCCAACUAAGUCAGACGUGAAAUCCCUCGGCUUAACCGGGGAACUGCGUCUGAUACUGGAUGGCUUGAGUUUGGGAGAGGGAUGCGGAAUUCCAGGUGUAGCGGUGAAAUGCGUAGAUAUCUGGAGGAACACCGGUGGCGAAGGCGGCAUCCUGGACCAACACUGACGCUGAGUGAGCGAAAGCCAGGGGAGCAAACGGG
rnacentral:rRNA from 1 species